ensembl:lncRNA
CAACGGAUGGGGCAUCUUGCUAAUGUGUGCAAAGGUAAAAUGAGCUGUGCAACGUGCGGUGGGGAUCACGAGUAUGGGAAAUGAUCAGAGAUGGAAACUCGAGUCGCGAUUAAGAAAAUAAAAUGACUUGCGACUUGAUUUAGACUUGUGAUCAAUUGACUUGUGACUUGACUUGGACUCUAGAUGAAAGACUUGUGAACAAUGCAAGUCAGUACUGGGAUAAGUUUUAGUUGUGCAUUCUGUCAGAUAACAUGGAAUAGGCGGCGUUGUAACACGGAGAAAGUAGUUUAAUACAGAGGGCUGAAAAGCGUUCUAGAACAUUUGCGUCAUUUGUACGUGACUGUAGUACUACAGCUGAACAAUCGUAAUCAGGAACGAUGUCAUCAGGUGGUGAAGCUUUUGUUAUUACAUUUGGUUACAAGAACCUGCAGUAUAAUGCCAGUGGCAAAAAAAUGAAAUGCUGUUUGCAAAACUUGUGGAAUUAACAUUAAAGAUGCUGGCGCAACUACAGUACAUCUAACUUCAUCCGACAUGUGAAAACUCACCGUGAAAGGUCAGUUAGGCUAGCUAUCUAACAAUGUUACAAUGUGAUUAGGCUAAUAAUAGCCUGUUUAGCAGAUGCCAACUUGAUAUAGCUAGCUUUAUUGUGUAUCAUCUUUUAGCUAACUGGAAAUGUAUUACUGCCAAAUAUUUCUUAAAAGGUUAAGAGGUGGGUUGUCAGAUAGCUAGACCUACUUGUUAGCAGAGAUUAUUAAAUUACAUCUCGGCGAUCUGCAUAUCACUCAGAUUUAAUAUACUUUCUGCUGUAGCCUGUUCCUAGGAAGUAACUUAGUAUAAAACCAGAGUUCAAAGCAUGCAACUUCUUGGACAUUUCUGCUGAAAAAUCCCAUAGACCAUAAAUAUUUGUUUGUGUCCUUGUACUUCCAUCUCAAGUCAGCAACAACUAUCCAUCAUGUUGUUCAUCUGCAGGUUCACUGAAUUCUGCAAAGCAAAGGUGACCAGCACAGGGACAGAAGGACAGAGCAGCGUGUAUAGCCAGGGGCCACCCCAGGCAGAAGGCUAUAACAGAGGCUAUACUGCAAGACCUGAUAAUUUCCUGCAACCUGCCUAUGUCCUUAGUGGACAACCCUCACUUUAGGCAUUUCAUGUCAGUGGUAGGUGACAAAUAUUGACCAGUAAGUAGGCCCACGUUGACCAGGUGCCUGCAUGACUUAACACUGAACAAAAAGGCUACAAUCAAAAGUGCCCUAGAACAGACAGAAUCAGUGUCUGUCACUGUAGAUAUAUGGACUGACAGGACCAUGAGGGGCUUCAUGGGAGUAAUGGCCCAUUACAUGGCCAUGGAAGAGGGGAAAAAAACACCCAUACUGGAGUAAGUUCUGUUGAGCUGUGAUAGAUUCACAUGGUCACUUACUGGGGAAAGAACAUUUGACAUUUAAUAUGUGAUAACUCUGAAAAUAUGAAAAAGGCCUUCAUAGUUUGUUUCCCCAAAGCAAUCAAUGAUGAUGAUGUGGAUAAACCCCAGCAUAUGGGAGGAAUUUGGUGAAGAGUACAAUGUUGAUGUAGAAGCUAUCCAAACCAACUGCAGGUAACAGCACUUACAGUGCUUUGCCCAUUCAUUACAACUGGUGAUUAGAGAUGGACUAAAGGAAACAAAAAUCAUAAACAGUGUGAUGUUUAAGGUAAAUAAACUUUGCAGCUUACUACACACUACCUGUUCUCUGACGGAAGCAUUUGAAGCCGAGUUCGGAGCCAAUCGUAGUAUCCCUGCUGCUGUGUCUACCAGAUGGAAUUCCAUCCUCCGGCUUGUUAAAGCAGCCACCAAUCUGAAUCAACAAAGCCUCAAUACGCUACUUGAGGCCCAAGGACACAAGGAACUCUGCUUAUCACAAAGGGAAUGGAGUCAGCUAUUGGAGCUAGUGGACAUUUUGGACCCUUUUGUCCAGGCCACCGACCUUACUCAGGGGGUUCUCUCAGUGCUGCCCUUCCUUGUGUACUGUCAACUAUCAUCUGCAAAGUAUACUGUGCACAAGUCAUCACCUACUCAGUCUAGUAAAAGCACUGCAGCAGUCACUCAAAUGCCAAUUCCAGGGGGUGUUUGUGAAUGUCAGAAUGGAGCACUUGGAUGAACAGGCAACAAAACUUACUUUGGUGACAAUGUAUACAUAAUGGCUGCACUGCACUGGACCCAUCUUUCUGCCUGUUCUGGCUUGAUCAUGAUGUCCUCAUACCACAUGAAGAUCAAGCUGAAUUGAAAGAGAGUCUGAUUAACCUAACCAGACGGCUGAGGCAUGGAAAGUCACCAUUAUGGAGAGCAGUAGUGGAGAAGAGGAACAACCACCUGCCAAAACCUCGACUGUUCUCUGGCCUCCUCAACAAGAUCAGCAUGAAGAAAGGAGACAAAGUCACCUGUCAAAGCAGAGAUUAUUAGCUACAUUGAAGUAUCUUCUGAUGAAAAGUAAGUUGAUUGCUUGGAUUUUUGGAGAAUCCAUGCAAAAGACUUUCCAAAACUCAAACAGGUAGCAAUGACAGUGUUGGCUGUGCCUGCCACCAGUGCCCCAGUGGAGAGUGUUUAGUCAUGGAGGCCUCAUCAUGCGCCCUCAUCGUGCCAGGCUCACUGCAAGAACGCUGACAAACUUGAUCUUUCUGAAAUGUAACCUGUCUGCAACAUAAAUAUUCUCUCUCUUAGGGCACAGGAUGUAAUUUGCUACUUGUUACAGGAAAUUGUAUUUAUGUUAAGUGUCCAGGUUAGUAAGUAUAUUUUAGGGAUAAAGGUCAUUAUGUUUGAUAUAUAGGACACUUUAGUAGUGCAGUUAUUGAACAGUUGUCAGUCAUUUUGGUUUACAUUCAUGCUUGUCAUUUAUCUUCCCUCACCUACAGAUUCUGUUUGUGUGACACAAAAUACCAUGCACUUUAAAAUGUUAUGUUUGCUUUUUUAAAUAUUCGGUACAAUUACUUUUAUUAAAUGUAAACUGUCUACAUUUUAAAAGGAAAUGUAUUUGGAUUGAAAUAGUGCC